GGCAAAAACUACUUAGGCUUUAAACUGGUCUGAUGAAAAAAUAAGUUCACUAGAAAUUCUAGACCAUGUCAAAAAUCUGUACCCACAUUCUCUUCACAUCACAGCUCCAGGGGGGCACCCACACAGGCGAGGCUGUGCCCAACUCCAACCACAGCAUCACCUCCUGUCUGGCAAAAGUCACCCAGGGAAAGAAACAUCGGGGAAAGCAAAGGAAUGAGAACUGGCAAGCCCACUUGGAGGCCCUUUUGGAGAGUAAGUCCAAGGAAUAGUUUCUCCGUGAAUGUUUGUGGAAUCAGUGAAGUUACUCAACCUGUCGCAGCCACAGACAUCUUAGGGCACACACGUCUUCUCUGUAUACAAACUGUACUUUCUGCCUCCUCCGUUUUGAUUAUCACUAAUAUCUUUACAAAAAUGGUCUUCUAGUAAACAUGGUUUUGCAAAUGGCUUUCCCCCCUCUUAGCCAAUUUUAGUCAUUUUUCCCUAUUAGUAUCCAUUAAUCUACCUCCUAGUCUGUAUCAGCUGAUAAAAACAGAGGGCAUG